CUUGGAAGCUCUCUGCAGACAGCAGGUCCUUUCAGAAUGGUUCUGUCAAAUGCCUGCCUUCCUUCACUUAGCUCCAGUCACCUGAGACAGGUGUCAUCGCAGAAGUGAAGCAAAGACAUUGAAGAAAAAUAAUGAGAUACAUUUCUGGAUGUUUAUGCAGUUUCCUAACUGAGGAGUGUCCCAUCUGAGCAAUAUGUAGUGAGAAGAACAUACACAGCCCAUUUAUGCAGCGAAUGAAAAGUUACUUCCUUUUCUUGCCUUGAAGUUGGUACGAGAUGAGGAUGGAAUUUCCUGAUUUCAUGGUGCUAUCCUUGCCACUUUCUCAGGAAAGCAGGAGACUUGAUCUGGGUGAUCCAGGACAGGCUGGAGAAACUGCUGUAACCGCUCUUUGGGAUGAAAAUGCUGAAAGUAGAAUGAAACAGCACUAAAAUCCAGGAAAUACUGCAACUUGAAUUUUGAUGAGACUGAAGGGUGGUAUUGAGCUGAGCAUUCUAAGCUUCCCACUCCGGGAUGGCUUUCUGAACCCUGUGCCCUUUGAUUGUGACAGCAACUUACAACAUGAGCUCUGUAAAGAGCAACUCUUUACCGUGAUAAGCUAUAAAUACCAACAGCAGCUUACAAAUGUUGUCAGUGAGUGUGCAGCAGGAGUAUGGCAGCUUUUCUUCUCCCAAAAUCACUUUAUCAAUAGAUUGUUGUGAUCCAAAUCACUGCCUAAACUGAAUUCAACAUCAGAUUAAAUCUUCUGUGAUUAAACAUUCUGCUUUCUUUCAAGGUGGAUUGGGAUAUAUACAUUGUUUAUGUCGUCAUCUGCAACAGCUGCCUGCCGAGACUUGGUACAUGCUAUCUAGAAGAUAGCACGGCUGUAUAUGAAAUGUCAUAUAGAGUUAAUGCCUUGA